rnacentral:rRNA from 1 species
GGGUGCGAUCAUACUAGCACUAAUGCACCGGAUACCAUCAGAACUCCGCACUUAAGCGUUCUUGGGCGAAAAUUGUUCUAAGAUGGGCUUGUCUUAUGACUUUUAUAGAUUCAGGCU